AGCGAACGCUGGCGGCAGGCCUAACACAUGCAAGUCGAACGAAGCCUUCGGGCUUAGUGGCGGACGGGUGAGUAACACGUGGGAACGUACCUUUUGGUUCGGUACAACUCAGGGAAACUUGAGCUAAUACCGGAUGAGCCCUUAAGGGGGAAGAUUUAUCGCCGAAAGAGCGGCCCGCGUUAGAUUAGCUAGUUGGUGAGGUAAAGGCGCACCAAGGCAACGAUCUAUAGCUGGUCUGAGAGGAUGAUCAGCCACACUGGGACUGAGACACGGCCCAGACUCCUACGGGAGGCAGCAGUGGGGAAUCUUGCGCAAUGGGCGAAAGCCUGACGCAGCCAUGCCGCGUGAAUGAUGAAGGUCUUAGGAUUGUAAAAUUCUUUUACCAGGGACGAUAAUGACGGUAACUGGAGAAAAAGCCCCGGCUAACUUCGUGCCAGCCGCCGCCGUAACAC
rnacentral:rRNA from 1 species